rnacentral:rRNA from 1 species
GACGAACGCUGGCGGCGUGCUUAACACAUGCAAGUCGAGCGGGAUCCAACCGGUGGCAACACCGGGGAAGAUCUAGCGGCGAACGGGUGAGUAACACGUGAGCAACCUGCCCCGAAGACUGGGAUAACACCGGGAAACCGGUGCUAAUACCGGAUGUCGUCAUUAGGCCGCAUGACCUGAUGAUGAAAGGAUUCAUCGCGUUCGGGAGGGGCUCGCGGGCUAUCAGCUUGUUGGUGGGGUAACGGCCUACCAAGGCGACGACGGCUAGCUGGUCUGAGAGGACGACCAGCCACACUGGGACUGAGACACGGCCCAGACUCCUACGGGAGGCAGCAGUGGGGAAUCUUGCGCAAAUGGGCGAAAGCCUGACGCAGCAACGCCGCGUGGGGGAUGAAUGCCUUC